CGAAACCCGGUCUCGAAGCAUGGUGGAUCCACAGCGAUGACGCUCUCGGUUGACCCAGAUCAGAGGAGCGUGACAGAGGUGCGACGAGCCGCGCGGGGGCGAGCGAGAAGACGUUGAGUAUCGCGAUCUCGCUUACCUGGAACAGAAACAAACGCAGAGACAUUAGAGAGCGGCCGGUGAUGCAACGGAACCGCGUGGGCGGCGGUCCGUGGAAACAUUAAUCUUUCGCGAAACGCUCGCGGUUAAUGAAAUCCACGGUCACUUCUGGUGUCA
rnacentral:misc_RNA from 1 species